GGCAGUGCAGUGGUCUGAACGCUGGACUACAACUCCAGAGACAAGGGUUCAAUUCCCACUCCA
rnacentral:tRNA from 1 species